AUCUUGGUCAGCUUGUGGGGCAUCUAAUCUACUUAAUGGUAACCCAGAUUUCCCUGUUUUGAUUAUGAACUGAAAAAUCCACAGGAUUCUGAGAGAGUGAAAUAUUGACAGAAACCUAGUUCUUCCUGCAUGUUACCUUUAUGUUUCUUUUUUGGUGAACUUCUAACAUGUUUCUGGGUCUUUGAAGAGUUUCUCUAAUUCAGACUCAUUAUAUCAGAAAAGGAUAUAUAUAUAAAGAAAUACAUCCAUACAUACAUUUAUAUGAAGAAAAAUAAAAACUCUGUCUUCUAUCAUUAUCUAUACCAUUAUUAUUCUAUUUUAUUUCAGUAAUUUAUGAGACUUGAAUUUUUUUCCUCUUAUUAGGAGAAAAGAGAUAUUUUGGCUACCCUAAGGAAAUGGAAUAAAUCAUCUCCUCACCCAGAGUACCUCUAGCCAAACAACAACAACUCUCCAAAUCUGUUUCAAGAUUCAAGAUUUGAUUUUAAAGCAUAAAAUACACAACCAAAUUCAAAGGAAAGUGAUAAAGACAUCUUCCAGGCCUCCUAAAGUAUUCUGUCUGCAUCAUGAAGAUGAUGACUGGGUCUCCAGAGGACAGAGAGAGCCUGGCUUUCUGAUGGCAUUGGAGAGCUGCCAUAUAAGCCUUAGCUGCCCACUGCUGAACUUCUUCAAAGAAUAAAUCCAUAUGUGUUUAAUCAACUAUUGUCAGAUUUCUAUACUAGCUACAAUUCUCAACUGAUAUACAACCUACGACAGAUUUGGAAGACCUCAUUAGUGUUUUUAAACCGUGCUCCAUCAUUUUGUGGUUUCUUGAUGUUACUCAGAGGUUUACCUGGGAAGGGUUGGAAAGAUGGAGGAUGUGAAUCUCAACUCAUCUGUGUCUGUCCAAUGAAAACAUUUCUAAUUCCAUGUAUUAUUACUUAGAUAUCUAUAGGGCAUUUCAUUUGAACCAAGGCUCCAUUCCUUAAAGUAAUUUGAAAACCACUGAGUUUUAGAUGGAAGUUUUCAUCAUAUAAUUGCUAAAACAAUUACUGUGUUUCAGGCAUUCUUCAAUGUGCUUAACAUAUAAUAAAUCAUUUAACUCUCUUAGUAACCCUGUGAAGUAAGUACUAUUACUGUUCCCAUCCUGUACAUGAGAAAACCAAGGCACAGAAAUAUUAACUUGUACAAGAUUGCACGUCUUGUAUGUGACACAGCUGAGAUUCAAACCUGGCAGCUUGCUCCCAAAUCCAAGCUUUGAUUACCAUCCUGCUUCUAUACACGUUACUAAAUUAAUGCUCAUGAAGUGUAAGUGAUUUUUCUCAAGUUCAAACAGAAAGUUUGUGGGAGACCUAAAGCAAGCUCUUAGGGCACUUAAGCCUGUUCCAGAACACCAAACACUAUCCUCCUUCUGGUUUUCAUUAUUUCUGUAUGACUCAACAAAGAAAUUGUAAAGUCACUUUUCCAACUGCUGCUGUUGUAAAUGAAUGAUGCCCCUCACAAAUAAAUUCAACUUUCAGCUUUCUGCUUCUUUUUAAAACAUAGUUCUCCUGAAUAGUGUAGCAGUGACACCACAGUUGGCUGAGAUCUUUUCUAUUUCUACUCCUUAGCUUUCUUGUAAACAUUAAUAUAAUCUCUUUCCUUAUACUUCAAACCUUCUACUAAUCCCAGACUGAAAAGUUUUAGGAAUUCUAGAACAUAAGUUGUCUAGUCUCAGAUAGCUGGUAAAAUCUGUGUUCAGGCUCUGCUGCACUAGUUCUACUUAAGUCAAAUAAGCAACAACUAACUAUGGCUCAACUGCCACCAUUUCUUCUUCUUUUUUUCCAAGAUUUUAUUUAUUUACUCAUGAGAGAUACACAGUGAGAGAAGCAGAAACAUAGGCAGAGGGAAAAGCAGGCUCCUCGCAGGGGGCCCAAUGUGGGACUCAAUCCCAAGACCCCGGGAUCAGGACCUGAGCCGAAGGCAGACACAACCACUGAGCCACCCAGGCAUCCCUCUUCUUCUUCUUUUUAAAGAUUUUAUUUAUUUAUUUGAGAGAGAGAGACAGAGAUAGUGACAGAAAACACGAGUUGGGAAGAAAAAGAGAAGCAGGCUCCUCACUGAGCAGGGAGCCUGACAUGGGGCUAGAUCCAUGUCAAUUAUGAAAUUAGAAAUUAUGGCUGCAUACAAAGAAAAGAAUUUGGUCUUCUGGGCAUCUGUGCAUGCAAACAUUUCUCCUAGAUGCACGUAUUAUGUUUCUUUUAAUUAAACCCACAGAAUUUUAUGAACUCAACAAAAGUAAUUUUUUCUUGAUUCAAUGAUUAAGUUUCUCUUAGGCCUUCAUUCACACUAAAUAUUGUAUGUAAUUUUCUUACAAUAUAAAAAAAUUCCAAAAUAAAGGAAACAACGUACUUUUGGAAUAGUACAGAUGUCAUCUCUUGGUUAUUUUCUCCACUAAUGGUUAAAGACGUUAUUUGUUUACCACUUAACUCUGUUCUAAGAAUAUGAAAGAAGGGUACUUUUGUAGAUGUGGAGUUAGAUUAUCAUCAUAAUUCUGCUGAGUAGCUUCGUAGAAUGAUUCAAGCUGUGUAGAAAUAGUAGCUAGACAGAUGCCUUUGUAAGUUUCAUUUAAACUGGCUUAGUUUCAAUUACAAUUUGCAAAGACACCUCACUUUUCAAUUUGCCUAGAUUUAUUGGUGUUUUAAUUCACAAGUGAACGGUGUAAGAGGUUCAUAGAAUGGAGUUAUUAGUCACCCAAAGCUGCAUUUUCCUGAACUAGCUUAGUAUCACAAUCAUCUGAGAACUUCUUAGAAGGACCUAUUUCUAAAUUGGCCCCAAGAUUACUGACUUAGAACAUCUUGGGGUGGGCCCAGGCCUUGUAAUUUUAA
rnacentral:lncRNA from 1 species